GACGAACGCUGGCGGCGUGCUUAACACAUGCAAGUCGAACGGAAAGGCCCUGCUUUUGUGGGGUGCUCGAGUGGCGAACGGGUGAGUAACACGUGAGUAACCUGCCCUUGACUUUGGGAUAACUUCAGGAAACUGGGGCUAAUACCUGAUAGGAGCUCCUGCUGCAUGGUGGGGGUUGGAAAGUUUCGGCGGUUGGGGAUGGACUCGCGGCUUAUCAGCUUGUUGGUGGGGUAGUGGCUUACCAAGGCUUUGACGGGUAGCCGGCCUGAGAGGGUGACCGGCGACAUUGGGACUGAGAUAAGGCCCAGAAGCCAACGGGAGGCAGCAGUGGGGAAUAUUGCAAAAUGGGAGGAAGCCUGAUGCAGCAAAGCCGCGUGCGGGAUGACGGCCUUCGGGUUGUAAACCGCUUUCGCCUGUGACGAAGCGUGAGUGACGGUAAUGGGUAAAGAAGCACCGGCUAACUACGUG
rnacentral:rRNA from 1 species